UGUAUAUAUAUAAUAGGCGCAGGAGUGGCUGUGUGGUAAAUAGCUUGCAUACCAACAAAAUGGGUCCAUGUUCAGUCCCACUGCGUGGCACAUUGGGCAAGCGUCUUCUACUAUAGCCUCGGGCCGACCAAACCCUUGUGAGUGGAUUUCGCAACGGAAACAGAAAGUAGCCUGUCGUAUAUAUACAUAU